UACAGAGGUCUCAAGCGUUUGUUCGGAUUCAUUGGGCGUAAAGGGUGCGUAGGCGGCGCGGUAAGUCGGAUGUGAAAUCUCGGAGCUUAACUCCGAAAACUGCAUUCGAUACUGCCGUGCUUGAGGACUGGAGAGGAGACUGGAAUUUACGGUGUAGCGGUGAAAUGCGUAGAUAUCGUAAGGAAGACCAGUGGCGAAGGCGGGGUCUCUGGACAGU
rnacentral:rRNA from 1 species